GUGGAGUGGACAGAAUCUUCAACACCAGAUAUCACAAGCGAUAGGAACAGCGCAAUGAACAAGCCACAAAAGCAGCUGGACGAACACGUGUAAGAUAACUUACGAAAUAACUCCAUUCGACUCCACGACGCGCAGUCUUAAUUAUAUGCGAGUGAAAAGGUCAAACAUGAUUAAGUGUGGAGUUAACCAUUAUCAUCGUGACCAAUUGUUCACCGUAGUACAAUUCAUUUCACCCAAAAUUUGAAGAACUACUAGAAACGAAAUGAGCUCCCUACCAGAGGCCGGACAGCUGCAGUGUUCUUCCAUAUCCCGAAACUGCCAGUCUCUGUCACUUCCGAUUUGCUACAGUAACAGCAGCAGCAGCUGCAGUGAGAAUAACUCGCCAACAGAAUUGAACCAACAUCUGCCGGAGAAACCCCCUUUGGUGAAAACAGUAGAACUAGCAAGUGAUGAAUCUGACAGCAAGACUAAAGAGUUAUUUGUCAAGAUAAAGGACACACAUGGUUCUAUUACACAAAGUAUCGGCGUAGAAAGUCCAGGGAGAUCCAUGCUUAGUACAAAUGACAGUUGUAGGGCAACGACUAGUGCAAACGUGCGUGCAUAUUUCCUAGUUUAUCUAAUGACGAACAAAACGCUGUACCCCAAAACCUGACUACUAUUUGUACCUACUCGGAAUUCACUAAUGAUCAAACUAGAUCUGGAAAUUGUUUAGCAUUUUCA